rnacentral:rRNA from 1 species
GAGUGAACGCUGGCGGUAGGCCUAACCCAUGCAAGUCGAACGGCAGCACAGUAAGAGCUUGCUCUUACGGGUGGCGAGUGGCGGACGGGUGAGGAAUACAUCGGAAUCUACUUUUUCGUGGGGGAUAACGUAGGGAAACUUACGCUAAUACCGCAUACGACCUACGGGUGAAAGCCGGGGAUCUUCGGACCUUUCGCGAUUGAAUGAGCCGAUUUCGGAUUAGCUAGUUGGCGGGGUAAAGGCCCACCAAGGCGACGAUCCGUAGCUGGUCUGAGAGGAUGGUCAGCCACACUGGAACUGAGACACGGUCCAGACUCCUACGGGAGGCAGCAGUGGGGAAUAUUGGACAAUGGGCGCAAGCCUGAUCCAGCCAUACCGCGUGGGUGAAGAAGGCCUUCGGGUUGUAAAGCCCUUUUGUUGGGAAAGAAAAGCAGCAGGUUAAUACCCCGCUGUUCUGACGGUACCCAAGGAAUAAGCACCGGCUAACUUCGUG